rnacentral:sRNA from 1 species
AAGUUCAUUUACUUAAUACUCACAUCUAUCGACACGGUUAGUUGGGUGCUGGUUCUUAAUAAAACUAGUUUCUAGUCGGGAUAGGUGGAGGCGUAAC